UCUGUAAACUGGGUAUAUUUGGG
rnacentral:piRNA from 1 species